GUGAGGAAUAUUGGUCAAUGGGCGGGAGCCUGAACCAGCCAAGUCGCGUGAAGGAAGAAGGAUCUAUGGUUCGUAAACUUCUUUUGCAGGGGAAUAAAGUGCAGGACGUGUCCUGUUUUGUAUGUACCCUGAGAAUAAGGAUCGGCUAACUCCGUGCCAGCAGCCGCGGUAAUACGGAGGAUCCGAGCGUUAUCCGGAUUUAUUGGGUUUAAAGGGUGCGUAGGUGGUUUGAUAAGUCAGCGGUGAAAGUUUGCAGCUUAACUGUAAAAAUGCCGUUGAAACUGUCGGACUGGAGUGUAAAUGAGGUAGGCGGAAUGCGUGGUGUAGCGGUGAAAUGCAUAGAUAUCACGCAGAACUCCGAUUGCGAAGGCAGCUUACUAAGCUACAACUGACACUGAAGCACGAAAGCGUGGGGAUCAAACAGGAUUAGAUACCCUAGUAGUCC
rnacentral:rRNA from 1 species